AUUGAACGCUGGCGGCAGGCUUAACACAUGCAAGUCGAACGAGUGGCGGACGGGUGAGUAAUGUCUGGGAAUCUGGCUUAUGGAGGGGGAUAACUACUGGAAACGGUAGCUAAUACCGCGUACCAUAGGAUGAGCCCAAGUGGGAUUAGGUAGUUGGUGGGGUAAAGGCUCACCAAGCCGACGAUCCCUAGCUGGUCUGAGAGGAUGACCAGCCACACGGGGACUGAGCCACGGCCCAGACUCCUACGGGAGGCAGCAGUGGGGAAUAUUGCACAAUGGGGGCAACCCUGACGCAGCCAUGCCGCGUGAAUGAAGAAGGCCUUCGGGUUGUAAAGUUCUUUCGGUGGCGAGGCGUUACCUACAGAAGAAGCACCGGCUAACUCCGUGCCAGCAGCCGCGGUAAUAC
rnacentral:rRNA from 1 species